UGGGGAAUUUUGGACAAUGGGCGAAAGCCUGAUCCAGCAAUGCCGCGUGUGUGAAGAAGGCCUUCGGGUUGUAAAGCAUUUUUGUCCGGAAAGAAAUCCUUGGCUCUAAUACAGUCGGGGGAUGACGGUACCGGAAGAAUAAGCACCGGCUAACUACGUGCCAGCAGCCGCGGUAAUACGUAGGGUGCAAGCGUUAAUCGGAAUUACUGGGCGUAAAGCGUGCGCAGGCGGUUUGCUAAGACCGAUGUGAAAUCCCCGGGCUCAACCUGGGAACUGCAUUGGUGACUGGCAGGCUAGAGUAUGGCAGAGGGGGGUAGAAUUCCACGUGUAGCAGUGAAAUGCGUAGAGAUGUGGAGGAAUACCGAUGGCGAAGGCAGCCCCCUGGGCCAAUACUGACGCUCAUGCACGAAAGCGUGGGGAGCAAACAGGAUUAGAUACCCUGGUAGUCCACGCCCUAAAACGAUGUCAACUAGUUGUUGGGGAUUCAUUUCCUUAGUAACGUAGCUAACGCGUGAAGUUGACCGCCUGGGGAGUACGGUCGCAAGAUUAAAACUCAAAGGAAUUGACGGGGUCAUAGCUGUUUCCU
rnacentral:rRNA from 1 species